rnacentral:rRNA from 1 species
AACGAACGCUGGCGGCAGGCUAAAACCAUGAAAUUCAACCGACCGGGGGCCUCGGUUCCCGAAGCUAGUUGCGCAACGGGGGGGUAAAUGGGGGGAUAAUCCCCUUUGUAUGGGAUUAACAAAGGAAACUUUUGCCAAAACCGGUAACGGCCCUUCGGGGGAAGGUUUUAUCGCUAAAGGAUUAGCCCGCGUCGGAUUAGGUAGUUGGUGAGGAAAUGGCUCACCAAGCCGACGAUCAGUAGCUGGCCUGAGAGGAUGAUCAGCCACACUGGAACUGAGACACGGCCCAGACUCCUACGGGAGGCAGCAGUGGGGAAUAUUGGACAAUGGGGGCAACCCUGAUCCAGCCAUGCCGCGUGAGUGAAGAAGGCCUUCGGGUUGUAAAGCUCUUUCGACGGGGACGAUGAUGACGGUACCCGUAUAAGAAGCCCCGGCAAACUUCGUG